CCUACGGGGGGCAGCAGUGGGGAAUAUUGGACAAUGGGGGGAACCCUGAUCCAGCGACGCCGCGUGAGUGAAGAAGUAUUUCGGUAUGUAAAGCUCUAUCAGCAGGGAAGAAAGAAAUGACGGUACCUGACUAAGAAGCCCCGGCUAACUACGUGCCAGCCGCCGCGGUAAUACGUAGGGGGCAAGCGUUAUCCGGAUUUACUGGGUGUAAAGGGAGCGUAGACGGCGAUGCAAGUCUGAAGUGAAAGGCGGGGGCUCAACCCCUGGACUGCUUUGGAAACUGUAGGGCUGGAGUGCAGGAGAGGUGAGUAGAAUUCCUAGUGUAGCGGUGAAAUGCGUAGAUAUUAGGAGGAACACCAGUGGCGAAGGCGGCUUACUGGACUGUAACUGACGUUGAGGCUCGAAAGCGUGGGGAGCAAACAGGAUUAGAUACCCCUGUAGUC
rnacentral:rRNA from 1 species